ACAUGAUAGUGAGGUCGGAUUUUGGAUCGGCUGCCGAUCUUGCUCAUAUGAGUUGAACGGUCUGCCGUAUGGUGAGGGCUCCGUGUGUGGCUGUGUGAUGUAUGUGUGCAUAUGUGAUGAUUCGCGAGACGGCAUAAAGUGUUUUGUUUGGAAGAAGGUUUCGUGCUGAAAUUUAAAAUUAGUGCGAUUCCCUGUGCAAUAUACCGGUUUUGUGGCAAUAAUACAGUGUUUAUUUAGUUCAUUUUACUGCAGUGCAAGUUUUUUGCAAGAUAUAUCCGUGAUAAGCCGAACGUAUAAAGAAGGAAGAAAGCAGUGAGACAACAGGGUGACAUCAAAAUGCAAUAGCUGGAUUAACCAGAUAAGUAUAAGAAAUUAUCAUUUAAAACAGUGGAAGAUGUUCGGAACAGGAAUUGUUAAAAGAUUAAUUAGUUAUGCUUUGUCGUCCUAAUGUUUCAGAUUCUUCUACAGCGGAUAUUUGAUGGCAAAAAGCGAGUGAAAAAAGAAUGCAACUAUGGACGGACGGCAUAAACCAACUCGAUUAAACUACUAUACAUACCCGUCGUUAUCGUUGUACCAACAAUUAUAAGGGAAAUUAUACUGUGAAGCGUAUGCUGCACAAAAUUGUCCCGGUCUGCCAACCAUUUCCUCGCGCCCUUCUGAUUCGAUUGCUCAUGAUCAGACUGUGCAAUUUUAAAAUGCAUACAUAACGGAAUGCAGCUUACUUUUUGACAACGAUUUUUUUCCAAGUUUCAUAAGACGUUCAAGUGCUAUCGCUAUGAGCUGAAAUUUUAAUAUAAUAGACAUAUGAGGAAAGGGUCAAAACAGUAGCUAGAUAGGAUAACAUACAAUACGAAAAUCAUGCCCAGCAUCGUGCUAUCUAUCAACCAAACACAUCAUUAAUAGACAUGCUCAUUAUAGACUCGCAGGACGACUACAUUUGUCCCGUCGAUUACAAGCAGAUAGGAUAAUAUAGAAGAUAGG